rnacentral:snRNA from 1 species
GGAUAUGAGGGCGAUCUGGCUGUGACAUCUGUCACCCCAUUGAUUGCCAGGGUUGAUUCGGCUGGUCUGGCUGGCUAGGUGGGUGUCCCCUUCCUUCCUCACCGCUCCAUGUGUGUCCCUCCCGAAGCUCAGCACUUGGUCGAAGAGGAUGGCCUUCCGCGAAUAGAGGCGGACAGGUCUUAGGUCGAGGGUAUACAAGUAGGUGUGCUCCCCUGCUAGAACCUCCAAACAAGCUUUCAAGAUAUUGGAGUUAGUCACAUUUAUAGAAGUAAGAAAAGGGGAGCCAGGCAGUG